rnacentral:lncRNA from 1 species
GGUCAGGCCUGGCUGGGCUGUGGCAACAGGCGGCGGUUUCGGGAGGCUCUGCCCUGGCGGAGGUGCCGGCUGUGUCACCACGACGGGCACUGGUUUGGAGGGGCUCUGGCACGGCGGAGCGGCCGCCUGUGCUGUUGUGACGGGUGUUGGUUUCGACUGGCUCUGGGGAAGGGGGCUUGCCGAUUUCACCUCGACGGUGGGCGCUGGUUUUGUGAGGCUCUGCUGCGACGGGGUUCCCGAUUUCAUCUCGACAACAGGCAUUGCUUUGGGCAGGCUCUGCUGUGACGGUGUUGCCAAUCUUGCCUCGACAACAGGCAUUGCUUUGGGCAGGCUCUGCUGUGACGGUGUUGCGGAUUUCACCUCGACAACAGGCACUGCAUUUGGGAGGCUCUGCUCUGACGGUGUUGCUGACUUCACCUCGACAACAGGCAUUGCUUUGGGCAAGCUCUGCUGCGACGGUGUGGCCGAUUUCACCUCAUCGGGCGUUGCCUUUGGUGGGCUCUGCUGCGACGGUGUGGCCGAUUUCACCUCAUCAGGCGUUGCCUUUGGCGGACUCUGCUGCGACGGCGUUGCUGACUUCACCUCAUCAGGCGUUGCCUUUGGCGGACUCUGCUGUGACGGCGUUGCUGACUUCACCUCGACAACGGGCAUUGCUUUGGGCAGGCUCUGCUGUGACGCUGUUGCCAAUCUCGGCUCGACAACAGGCAUGGCCUUGGGCAGGCUCGGCUGCGACGGUGUUGCCAAUCUUGGCUCAACAACAGGCAUGGCCUUGGGCAGACACUGCUGCGACGGUGCUGUCAGUCUCGCCUCAACAACAGGCAUGGCCUUCGGCAGGCUCUGCUGCAACUGUGCCACCAAUCUCGGCUCAACAACAGGCAUGGCCUUCGGCAGGCUCUGCUGCGACAGUAGCGUCAAUCUCGCCUCAAUGGGCAGCGAUUUCGGUAAGCCCUGGUGCGACGGUGUUGCCGGCAUGGCCUUAGGCAGGCUCUGCUGCGACGGCGUUCCCGAUUUCGCCUCCGCGAGGGCUGUUGCUUUCGAGACGCCCGUCGGCAGCGGGCUUUCCGGCUGCGCCGGAAUGGGCACCCACUUGCUUUCCGGCUGCGCCGGAAUGGGCACCCACUUGGGGCCGCUCGACGGCAGGGCGCUGCCCGUCUU